UACGGAGGGCGCACGCGUUGUUCGGAAUCACUGGGCGUAAAGCGCGUGUAGGAGGCAUGGUAAGUCGGGUGUGAAAGCCCGGAGCUCAACUCCGGAACUGCCUUCGAAACUACCUCGCUCGAGGCCCGGAGAGGGUGGUGGAAUUCCCGGUGUAGAGGUGAAAUUCGUAGAUAUCGGGAGGAACACCAGUGGCGAAGGCGGCCACCGGGGCGGUGACUGACGCUGAGACGCGAAAGCGUGGGGAGCGAACAGG
rnacentral:rRNA from 1 species